GGGCCGGCUUUAGCUCAGCGGUUACUUUGACAAUGCUCUCCUUGCUGGAAAAUGAAACCACUCUGUGUGGUUCGAGACCCGCGGGCGCUCUCCGGUCCUUUA
rnacentral:vault_RNA from 1 species